CUACGGGACGCAGCAGUGGGGGAUAUUGCACAAUGGGCGCAAGCCUGAUGCAGCAACGCCGCGUGAGGGAAGAAGGUUUUCGGAUUGUAAACCUCUGUCCCUGGUGACGAAUAAAUGACGGUAGCCAGGGAGGAAGCCACGGCUAACUACGUGCCAGCAGCCGCGGUAAUACGUAGGUGGCAAGCGUUGUCCGGAUUUACUGGGUGUAAAGGGAGCGCAGGCGGGAAUUCAAGUCAGCGGUGAAAUCUAUGGGCUUAACCCAUAAACUGCCGUUGAAACUGAGUUUCUUGAGUGAAGUAGAGGUAGGCGGAAUUCCGAGUGUAGCGGUGGAAUGCGUAGAUAUUCGGAGGAACACCAGUGGCGAAGGCGGCCUACUGGGCUUUUACUGACGCUGAGGCUCGAAAGUGUGGGGAGCAAACAGGAUUAGAUACCCGAGUAGUC
rnacentral:rRNA from 1 species